rnacentral:lncRNA from 1 species
GAAACACCUUUAUUCUUCUCUACAAAGACUAAGUCUGUGAGGUCCAGUGAAUCUUGGAGCUGUGUGUGUGGGUGUUUCCCUGAAGGAGUUUCCAGUGAAAUAGAUACAGCUGAGCUGACUGCAGCACUUCUUUCUAGAGCAGAGCUGUCAAGAGGAUGAAUGAAUACUAUGGUAAGGAUGCAGUUUAUAUUUAGUUUAAGGAAGAAAACAGCCCUCUGCUUGUGAUCAAUCUAGAAUUAAAAGUGUCAGUCACAGAGUCAUUGUGGGGAACAGGCUUCUAAAGCAAAUU